GAGGAGGCGGGCGUGCGUGUGAGGGUGUGAGAAAGGGAGAAAGAGAGAGAAAGAGUGUAUGCGUGUGUGUGUAGGCGGCCGCGGUGGCAGCGCAGGCGGCUAGGCUCCGGCCCUAAGCGCAGCGGAAGCCGGGAGGGAUGCAGGCGGCGGGGACCUUGGCCGGUGUAGGAUGCGGCGGUGGAAGUGGAGCGGCUGGCGCUCCCCAGGAGCUCCGCAACGCGAGGUUUCGGGCUCGUGGCUUUGCUUCCUCUGGGUCCCCUCUCCAGGGCCCCUCCGCAAGACGAAGAUGCCGAGGAGAGCGCCGCGGGGAGGGCGCUUCGGGCCGUGCGCGCAGCGCCCACAAAGGGCAGCAGUCCCGCCGCCCGGAGCCUCUGCUGCGUGGGGGCUGAGGGCCGCUUCCCGGCCCCCCGGAGAGUUGGAGACUGUUCUCUGGCCUCGGCCGCGCGGGGGUGAGGUCGGGGGUCGGCGCGGCCGCUACUGCCCCGGCUCCGUCCGGCGCAGCUGCCGCCGCGGCCGCCCCUGGUGCCUGCGCGCCAGCACCCGCCUGCCGGUCCUUGCCCGGCGCCGCUCACUCGCGCGCGCCGCCCCACCCCCCGCCGCCGCCGCCGCCGCCGCCGCCGCCGCCCGCGCACCCUGCUCGGCCUCAGCGAGCGCGACCGACGCGAGUCGCAGCCGCCACCGCCGCUCUCCCCGCGCUCGCCGCACGCGCUGCCAGGCUGCGCGGCCCUCUCUCUUCUCCUCUCCUCUCCCCGCCCGCUGCCGCCGCCACCGCCGCCGCCGCCCUCGCCCCCGCCUCCCUCCUCCGCCGAGCUUCCCCGCCCGCGUCGUGGCCAAUCGGAGGCCACCGAGCUGCGGCUGUAGCCGGCCAGAUCCACGGCAGCCGUCCGCCCCCGCCCUGCCGAAGCACCCCGUUUUUGCUGCAGCCCGCGGGGGGUCGCCGGAGGGAAGUCUGGGUAUUACAGGUAAAUAAAAAUACCGGUUUUAUCUAAGCGUUUCCAUACUCUGGAGGUCGUCGAACUUCGUUGCAGUUACUGAACAUUAUUCCUCUGCUUUGGGUUUUUGGGGUUUUUGUGCUUUUAGUAUUUGAAAAUCAAACUCAAUAUUUCCAUGGAAAAUAUAACCAAUUUUUUAGUCUGCACUGCGUAGUGUGGAUCAUGACACCUACUGGCAGCAUAGAAUUUUGCACCCUAGUUCCAUAAGACACUGAAGCCCCUGUUACUUAAGACAGGUAAGGAUAUUUCAAAUCUAUGCUUGUGUUAUGAGUCAAUAAUAAACUCUACUGGAAAAAUUGUAUCUUGGAGUAUGACUUUUGGUUUGGAUAGGCUACAUUUUGCUGUGCUAACAAACAUGGCCUAAAACUCAGGGGCUUAAAUUAACAAAGAUUUAAUUCUUGCACAUACUGCAUGUCUGUUACAAGUUAUUAGUGAUGAAAAGUGUGAAAUGAAGGUUGAAAGUCAAUUCCAUCUCCAGCUGCACUGUUACCUACCAGCCUAGCGUUCCCAGGAGAGUCACUCAUUGAUUCGAGACAUCUUUUUUUGUCUGUUGAGCAGGGUCUUUCCAUGUCUGUGUCAGUUGUGCUACUUUAAUUGUUACAGCUUUAUAAAUAUAUUUUUUAAGCUUAUUUAUUUAGUUUGAGAGAAAGAGAGAGCAAGAGCAAGUAAGCAGGGGAGAGGCAGAGAGAGAGGGAGAGAGAGAAUCCCAAACAGGCUCCGCACCCUCAGCACAGAGCCCCAUGUGGGCUCACAAACUGUGAGAUCAUAAGCCGAGCUGAAACCAAGGGUUAGGCGCUUAACCAACUGAGCCACCCAGGUGCCCCAACUGUUACAGUUUUAUAAUAAGCUUCCUAUAUGGGAAGACUUAUCUCUUCCUCUAAUUGUUGUUUUAAAAAAUUCUGUGUUUUUCUUACUUGAUUAUUCUUCUGGGAGAAGUUUACAAUAUUUUUUGUUAAAUUACCUUGAAUUACAGUUGUUUUUUGUUUGGAUGGCAUUAAAUUAUGCAUUAAUUUGGUAAUAACUGUAAAAUAUUUAGUCUUCUAUAUAUGUCCUUUAUAUAUCUCAAAAAUAUUUGUAAUAUUAUUCAUAUGUUAAAUGCAUUUUAUUAAAAUAGGUCCUUGCCAUCCUAUUUUUGUUACAACAAUAAAUAAAAUUUAUUUACACAAUUUUAUUUCCACAUUUGCUAUUACCUGCAUAUAAGCAUGCUAUUGAUUUUGUAUUUUUCUCUUAUAAUAAAUAAUUGUAUAAAAUUUUCAUAUGAUGUCAUUUUGCAUUUAUUUAAAUGUCUUGCAUUUAUAGCUCUUAGCUUUGUGUCAUGUCUUCCAGCACAGAACAAAGCAUUCUAAAAAGGACAUCAUUAUUAUUUUUUUCCACAUUUAAUAGCAGUCUUCUUUGGGUUUAACCAUUUGAAGUGUAUUAUGGUG